CGAACGAGGGGAACUGACACAUCUAAGUCCCCUUAGGCAGAGAAAUCAAUUGAUAUUCCCGUAGUAGUGGCGAGCGAAGUGGGAAGAGCCUGGUAUGAUUUAGCUGUAAUUAUAGUAGUACAAGUUGGGAAGCUUGACGAUAGAGGGUGAUAGUCCCGUAUACGAAAUAAUCUCAGUGGAACUAAGCAUACGAACACGUAGGACGGGGCAAGUGGAACCUUGUCUGAAUAUGGGG
rnacentral:rRNA from 1 species